AAUGAACGUUGGCGGCAUGGAUUAGGCAUGCAAGUCGUGCGAGAAGUCUUUUGCUUGCAUUAGACGGAAAGCGGCGAAAGGGAGAGUAACGCGUGGUUUAUCUACCCCGGGGUCCGGAAUAGCUGUGGGAAACUGCAGGUAAUGCCGGAUAACAUCUACGGAUCAAAGGUGUGAUUCCGCCCUGGGAGGGGACCGCGUCCUAUUAGCUUGUUGGUGGGGUAAUGGCCUACCAAGGCAACGAUGGGUACCGGGCGUGAGAGCGUGACCCGGCUCACUGGGACUGAGACACUGCCCAGACACCUACGGGUGGCUGCAGUCGAGAAUCUUCGGCAAUGGGCGCAAGCCUGACCGAGCAAUGCCGCGUGCGGGAUGAAGGCCUUCGGGUUGUAAACCGCUGUCAGUUGGGAGGAAAUGCCAUGGGGUACUCUCCAUGGUUUGACCUAUCUUCAGAGGAAGGGCGGGCUAAGUUCGUGCCAGCAGCCGCGGUAAGACGAACCGCCCAAACGUUAUUCGGAAUUACUGGGCUUAAAGGGUGCGUAGGCGGUGCGGUAAGUUGGAUGUGAAAUCCCUCGGCUCAACCGAGGAACUGCGUUCAAUACUG
rnacentral:rRNA from 1 species